rnacentral:rRNA from 1 species
CCUACGGGAGGCUGCAGUGGGGAAUAUUGGGCAAUGGGCGCAAGCCUGACCCAGCAACGUCGCGUGAAGGAAGAAGGCCCUCCGGUUGUAAACUUCUUUUGUCUGGGACGAAACAAAUGACGGUACCUGCCGUAUAAGCCAUGGCUAACUACGUGCCAGCAGCCGCGGUAAUACGGAGGGGGCAAGCGUUAUCCGGAUUUACUGGGUGUAACGGGCGUGUAGGCGGGUGAGCAAGUCAGAUGUGAAAUUCCAGGGCUCAACCCUGGAACUGCAGUUGAAACUGGUUGUCUUGAGUGAAGAAGAGGCAGGCGGAAUUCCGGGUGUAGCGGUGAAAUGCGUAGAUAUACGGAGGAACACCAGUGGCGAAGGCGACCUGCUGGACAUUAACUGACGCUGAGGCGCGAAAGCGUGGGGAGCAAACAGGAUUAGAUACCCUUGUAGUC